rnacentral:rRNA from 1 species
AGGGUAUUUGGACAUGGGCGAAUGCCUCGAUCCACGCCAUCGCCGCGUGCAUGAUGAAGGCCUUCUGGGUUGGUAAACUGCUUUUGCCGGGGGAAAAAAUGCCCUGCGCGAUUAAUUGAACGUACCUGGUGAAUAAGCCACGGCUAACUACUUAGCCAGCAGCCGCGGUAAUAA